AUGAUGAACACAAGCGUGACCGCACCGUGGCCUGACCCGCUCCGGUCAGCGGGACGGGGAGGAGUCGGAGGCUCCGCUCGGCUGCCGGCCGUCCCGGAGCGCCGCAGACACGAGCUAUGCAGCGAGUUGAUCCGGUCUUCCCCGAGGCACUGGAAGAAUUAUUACGGACUAAAGCUAAGGAAUAGGCCUUCAUGCAGUGAGCCAUGCAGAGAGCCAGGGACUCACAGAAAUGCUGGAGUUCAAGCACAAGACUCAAGGGCAGAGGAGCGAGGAUCCCUAUCAGGAUGGAUUGAUGCUGCCCAGAGCACCGUGUGCCGCUCCUGUGCUGCCGAGGUGUCUCCCGCUGCACAUACUGCACGUCGAGAUCGAAAGGAGAAUUAG
rnacentral:lncRNA from 1 species